UGGUACUUAGUUUAAACAAAACAAAUGAUUUCGACUCAUUAGACUAUGAAUACAUCAUAAUUACCAA
rnacentral:tRNA from 1 species